CCAUGCCAUAAGCAAACCCCCUCUGCCACGCUGCCAGACUUUUGAGCCAGUGGACUAUGAAGUGAAACCUCUACAAACUUUAAAGAUAUGCAAGAACAGCAAGAGAUCACUUCUUCCUUCACCGCACAAUUUCCCAACGAUGAACAGUUCAUGUGGCGAUGAUUAGCAUCAUGUGAUGUUUUAAGCAGACACUCACAACACUGGAGCUCACCUCAAGAGCAGCAGGAGAGAGAAGAACAUUGGCCAGUCCAUCCAAUCAGUCAGUCCAAAUCCAGCAAGUUUGAGUGUAGAAGAUUCUGGAGAAAACUGGAAGAAACUAAGAAGCUUCUAGGAAAUGAAUCAUUCCUGCAAGCCAUCCAGCACUGUAACGUACCCUGCAUUGAUGGGAAGCACAUGAAGCAGCCUACUGCAGAAAUUAUCAGACAAUAUUUUCCGUGCACAUCAUAGCCAUUAAACAGUGCUGGGAAGCACAACUGUGCAGCACAGAGCUUCAUACCUAAGUCACAUCCCUUCCAAAAUGCAAGAUAUGUCAGAUUUCCCAGGAAAAAGGAGAGAGAUAAGUAAUGAGGCCACUGACUUUGUGACAUACUGUGUGAAACUGACCACCAAUAACCCAUGACUUUAGUACGUGUAAAGUAAAUAGUUUCAGAGGCCGUAUUUCUGAUGUUGAAUAUAAAGACUGCCCAGCAAGAAGGAGACUGAAGAGUUGGUCACUGAAUGAUCAGUUCUAUUUGGAUAUGAGGACUGUCACAACAAAACCCAAAGACCUGAACACAUUCAGCACAAAGGUCCACACAGGGUUUUGCACUGGCAGCUAACUUCUGGCACCUUGCCUCUAUGUAGAUUAUCUUAAGCAUCAUCUGUCAAUCAAAUGAUUAUUUCUCCUGACAGCGGGUAGAAUUUUAACCUAUCAUUCUUUACGUAACUAUGGACAACAUUAAAGUUCAUACAUCCACCUUAGAAUGAAGUGAGUUGAUUUGAUUUUUUCCAAGCAUGACACCUACCUGACAUGCUUUACAUCAGUUUCUAAUGUUAUUCAGGUAUUUGCAUAAAUAUUGAAAAGACAAGCACUUUACUGUUUCUAAUACUCUUUGUUAUAUAACCCUUUACUGAGUCUCACGGCCACACUGAGAAUAAAGCAUGAAAAAUAUUCUUCAAUGUCUUCUGUUUCUGGCAACUUGAUAGAUGGAACA